AGGGGCAGUGGGGAGCCUUCCCCAUCUCCUGUAGAUCUCCCGGGAUGGCCUCCCACGAGGAGGGGAGGAAAUGGGAUCAGAGCUAGAAUAUCGCCCUCCCUUGAAUGGAGAAUGGCAUGAGUUUCCUCUGAGGCCCCUUCUGCUCUCUAGGACAAUUAAAGGAUGACUUCUCUGAGGACAUGGAGGGGAAGACAGUCCCUGGAAUACUGAUCAGGGGCCCCCUUUGACCCCUGCAGCCGCCUUGGGCACCGUGACUUUUUCUCUCAGGCCUUGUUCUCUGCCUCACACUCAAAUGUUUGAAGGUCUGAUUCCAGCUUUUCUGAGUCCUGCCUCCACUCAGGUCAGGACCAGAAAUCGCAGUUCCUCCCUCAGAGACUAGAACUUUCCACAGAAUAGGAGAUUAUCCCAAGUACCUGUGUCCAGGCUGCUGUCAGGGUUCUGUGCUCCCUUCCCCACCCCAGGUGUCCUGUCCAUUCUAAGAUGGUCACAUCGGUGCUGCUGUGUUGUCCCAUGAAAGAUACAAAAUGCCUGAAUUUUCUGACUCAUCCCGUCAGAUCCCCCAAAGACACAUGUGACCCACCAACCCAUCUCUGACCAUGAGGCCACCCUGAGGUGCUGGGCCCUGGGCUUCUACCCUGCGGAGAUCAGACUGACCUGGCAGCGGGAUGGGGAGGACCAAACUCAGGACACGGAGCUUGUGGAGACCAGGCCAGCAGGGGAUGGAACUUUCCAGAAGUGGGCAGCUGUAGUGGUGCCUUCCGGAGAAGAGCAGAGAUACACGUGCCAUGUGCAGCACGAGGGGCUGCCGGAGCCCCUCACCCUGAGAUGGGAGCCGUCUUCCCAGCUCACCAUCCCUAUCGUGGGCAUCAUUGCUGUGGCUGUCCUAGGAGCUGUGGUCAUCGGAGCUGUGGUCACUGCUGUGAUGUGGAGGAGAAAGAGCUCAGGUGGAAAAGGAGGGAGCUACUCUCAGGCUGCGUGCAGCGACAGUGCCCAGGGCUCUGAUGUGUCUCUCAGGGCUUGUAAAGCCUGAGACAGCUGCUUGUGUGGGACUGAGAUGCAGGAUUUCUUCACACCUCCCCUUUGUGACUUUAGGAGCCUCUGGCAUCUCUUUCUGCAAAGGUGUCUGAAUGUGUCUGCGUCCCUGUUAGCAUAAUGUGAGGAGGUGGAGAGACAGCCCACCCUGUGUCCACCGUGACCCUUGUCCCCACGCUGAGCUGUGUUCCCUCCCCAGUCAUCUUUCCUGUUCCAGAGACCUGGGGCUGGGUGUCUCCAUCUGUGUCUCAACUUCAUGGUGCACUGAGCUGCAACCUCUUACUUUCUUAAUGAAAAUAAGAAUCUGAAAAUAAAUGUGUUUUCUCAAAUAUUUUCCAUGAAAGGUUGAUGGAUUAAUAAGUCAAUUCCUGAAAUUUGAGAGAGGAAAUAAAGACCUGAGAACCUUC